GAAACUGAAUAGAGUUCAGGUGCUCGCUAUGAGCCUAAUAGGGAACCCCGUAAACUCGGGGACGGGCCCGCCGCUGUAAUCGAGGACGAACACCGCAAAACGCCACUGGAACAAUAGAGGUGUUGGUUAUCC
rnacentral:ncRNA from 2 species